rnacentral:rRNA from 1 species
UGCCAGCAGCCGCGGUAAUACGGAAGGUGCAAGCGUUAUCCGGUUUUAUUGGGUUUAAAGGGUGCGUAGGCGGCUUAUUAAGUCAGUUGUGAAAUCCUAGUGCUUAACGCUAGAACUGCAAUUGAUACUAUUAGGCUUGAGUUAAGAAUAGGUAAGUAGAAUUUAUGGUGUAGUAGUGAAAUGCUUAGAUAUCAUAAGGAAUACCAAUAGCGUAGGCAGCUUACUGGUCUUUAACUGACGCUGAGGCACGAAAGCGUGGGGAGCAAACAGGAUUAGAUACCCUGGUAGUCCACGCCGUAAACGAUGAUCACUCGGUAUACAUAAAUUUAUGUGUGUCUAAUAGCUAGCGUUAACUGAUCCACA